GCGUAAUAGCUCACUGGUCGAGUCGGCCUGCGCGGAAGAUGUAACGGGGCUAAACCAUGCACCGAAGCUGCGGCAGCGACACUAUGUGUUGUUGGGUAGGGGAGCGUUCUGUAAGCCUGCGAAGGUGUGCUGUGAGGCAUGCUGGAGGUAUCAGAAGUGCGAAUGCUGACAUAAGUAACGAUAAAGCGGGUGAAAAGCCCGCUCGCCGGAAGACCAAGGGUUCCUGUCCAACGUUAAUCGGGGCAGGGUGAGUCGACCCCUAAGGC
rnacentral:rRNA from 2 species